rnacentral:rRNA from 2 species
UUGACCUCGGAUCAGGUAGGGAUACCCGCUGAACUUAAGCAUAUCAAUAAGCGGAGGAAAAGAAACCAACAGGGAUUGCCUUAGUAACGGCGAGUGAAGCGGCAAUAGCUCAAAUUUGAAAGCUGGCGUCUUCGACGUCCGCGUUGUAAUUUGUAGAGGACGCUUCGGCGAAGACUCCUGCCUAAGUCCCCUGGAACGGGGCGUCAUAGAGGGUGAGAAUCCCGUAUGUGGCGGGCGGUCCGAGCCAUGUGAAGCUCCUUCGACGAGUCGAGUUGUUUGGGAAUGCAGCUCUAAAUGGGAGGUAAAUUUCUUCUAAAGCUAAAUAUUGGCCAGAGACCGAUAGCGCACAAGUAGAGUGAUCGAAAGAUGAAAAGCACUUUGGAAAGAGAGUUAAAAAGUACGUGAAAUUGUUGAAAGGGAAGCGCUUGCAACCAGACUCGCUCGUUAGUUGCUCAGCCGGCCUCUUGGCCGGUGUACUCUUCUGCGAUCGGGCCAGCAUCAGUUCGGGCGGCCGGAUAAAGGUGUCGGGAAUGUAGCACCCUUCGGGGUGUGUUAUAGCCCGGCGCGGAAUGCGGCCAGCCUGGACUGAGGAUCUCGCUUCGGCAAGGAUGCUGGCGUAAUGGUUGUAAGCGGCCCGUCU